UACCGUGGGGACAUACUGCCCUCAUAGUUAAGCUCCCCUGAGUCACCACUUGUGGUGCAUCACCAUCCUAAGAUACUAACCAACUUAAUGCUCUGAGCAGGGGUACAAAAUUAGAACACCGAUAAAGCCGAAAGUCAAAUCUCAUUUAGAGUUGAAUAUCAGAAAUAUUGAAAUGUAAAACCCAACCCUGACGAUUUUUCUGAUUUUUAUAUCUGCCACAUGUCACUUCUCUCAUAUCGGAAUUAUUGAAGCAAAUUUUCAUUCCUGGAAUCUGUGGGAAUCUUAUGCCUGACUGACUGACUGUCCUCUCGCCUUGACUUAUUAUUCUUGCAAAGACAGUGAUGCCAAUUGAGUUUCAUCUUGCUAGUAUAGUGGCUGUACCAUUCUGCCAUACCGUUUAAUGACAAAAACACUAAACAGCAAUUCAUUCACUUCACCAUCCAAUAGUGGUUGGCCACAAGAGCUGCCUGCAUUGUCAUGUCUCCCACAUGGCGAGGAGACCAAAGAUCUCACCAUGGCUCCAAGAGGCUGCUCGAUGAAUUAAAAGGCAUCAAAAGCUGUUUUCUUUCCAGUAAAUAACUGUCACCUGAAUGAGCACUAACUAGUCUGGUGAUGAAUAAUAAUGACUCAACUUCCACUUCAAACACACAAAGAAAAGUCUUUUUGAUUCAUUCUCAUUUGCCACACUGUCUUCCCCUAAAUGACAGGAUCAUGUACAACGCAGAAACCUGUCUCAAAAGGAAAAUCAGACCUCUCUAUUCAAGAUGAAAUGCUUUAAUGUGUGAAAAUGAUCUACAUCGCAGUGGUUCUGCUCUAUCUCCUGUUCUCCCUGCCCCCUUCUUUGGCUGUUUUGUAUUUGGGAUUUUUCUAUCAGCCAAUUUAUUUGUUUUUUCUGAUCUCAAGCAUCUAAGCUAAAACAGCUGCCCCCUCCUUUUCUUUAGAAGCAGCAACUUUUCUCGUUCCCUCCCUAUUCAAGAAGCAUUUUAUAUCUUUCUCUUUGAUAUGUUUACAAACUUUGUUACUUUUCUUGUCACCUGUUGGUUAACUCAGCGCACUCCCUUCCCUCC